CUAAGAAUAGUCCGCAAUGGGGGAAACCCUGACGGUGCGACGCCGCGUGAACGAUGAAGGCCUGACGGUUGUAAAGUUCUUUUCUCGACGAAGAAUAAGGACAGGAGUGGAACGCCUGUCUGAUGACGUUAAUCGAGGAAUAAGCCCCGGCUAAAUAGGUGCCAGCAGCCGCGGUAAUACCUAUGGGGCGAGCGUUGUUCGGAAUUAUUGGGCGUAAAGGGCGCGUAGGCGGUUUCGCAAGCCUGAUGUGAAAGGCUCCGGCUCAACCGGAGUUGUGCGUUGGGAACUGCGUGACUAGAGUUCUGGAGGGGAAGUUGGAAUUCCUGGUGUAGGGGUGAAAUCUGUAGAUAUCAGGAAGAACACCGGUGGCGAAGGCGAGCUUCUGGCCAGAAACUGACGCUGAGGCGCGAAAGCGUGGGGAGCGAACAGG
rnacentral:rRNA from 2 species